rnacentral:rRNA from 1 species
UACGGAAGGCAGCAGUGGGGAAUAUUGCACAAUGGGCGAAAGCCUGAUGCAGCUAUGCCGCGUGUAUGAAGAAGGCCUUAGGGUUGUAAAGUACUUUCAUCGGGGAGGAAAAACAAAACUAAUAAUUUUAUUUCUUGACGUUACCCGAAAAAGAAGCACCGGCUAACUCCGUGCCAGCAGCCGCGGUAAUACGGAGGGUGCUAGCGUUAAUCAGAAUUACUGGGCGUAAAGAGCACGUAGGUGGUUUUUUUAAGUCAGAUGUGAAAUCCCUGGGCUUAACCUAGGAACUGCAUUUUGAAACUGAAAUACUAGAGUAUCGUAGAGGGAGGUAGAAUUCUAGGUGUAGCGGUGAAAUGCGUAGAUAUCUGGAGGAAUACCUGUGGCGAAAGCGGCCUCCUGGACAAAGCUGACGCUCAUGUGCGAAAGCGUGGGGAGCAAACAGGGAUUAGAUACC